GGACGUCCUCCGUGUUUUUGUGUUGCUUGUGAGUCGCAUACAAAUGAUGUCACAGACUUUUGGACGCCAUGACUACCCCAAGCAAAUUGAGUUACAGGACAAACAAGCACUUCUCUUGUAGCUGUAAUGUGGCAGACAGACACAACAGUGCGCUUCAGCUGUUGGAAGAAAACAUUUAGCGAUCCUGCUCAUCACGGCCUCGUCUGAGAUGACAGCUGAACAGCCGACACCGACAGAGGAGAUAACUUCUGUACACAGCACGAAGGUGAAAAGCCCAAAUGUUAAACAUCUGAAAAAAUGCCGCGUGACACAAGCAGGAUGUCGACAACACCACUCAAAAGCACAGCAGAGGUCACACACAAAGCCACAGCCCUACAGACCCAAAGCUCGUAGAGGGAGUCUGGCUCCAAUUUUGCUACAGUAAAGGAAUGAAGUGAAGGAGUGACCACAUCUAGUGGUGAGUCUCCUGCUUUGUUUCUUCUGAAGAAGAUGAAAUAAAAAGAAAAACAGAAACGAAGAUCUUUAAAGAAACUUUUCUUUGCUGUUUGGCAUUGCGUUACAUUUCAGUGCAAUGCAAAUCAUAUGCAGUACUAACUAUAAAAAUCACAAUAUUUCUCAGAUCAGUGGUAUAUAAGAAAUAUGUGUAUGACAUAAAAAGGUUAUUAAGGCACUACAUAAAUGAAUGUAUCUGAUACAAUUAUAAUUUGAUGUUUAUGUUUAUAAGUCAGUUUUUAAUAUGGCCUUAUUCAUUUUACUGGUUUUGAUGGAAUGAAGAACAAGUUUUCAGUCUUCUAUUGUUGUAACUUUGCACUGUAACUGCUAUUGUUUCAUGAAUUUCAGUUUCAAAUAAAGUCACCCAGAGUUAAAGCAUAAAAA
ensembl:lncRNA